CUCCAACCUCCUGGGAAAGUUUGACAAAAGGAGAAACAUUACUCUGUGCCUCUAACAUGUACAUUUGUUUUAACUCUCCACUGUACAGGUCAGGAGGGGAGGACUGGGACCCAGGUGAGGAAUGUGACAUGAGGAUCAGAAGAGCGAGGGGCUGCUGCCUGAGGAGAGUUGUGUCGGGUGAGGAUGGAGCUUACGGUAAAGGGCGUGUGAUCAGGACUUGAGGCUCCUCCCAGCAGCGUCAGGCCUAAAGUGUUGACCCGUGGUCCCGGGGCCCGACGCCAGGAAAAAUCCAAAUAUGAAGACCUGAUCGGCUGACAGUAAACUUAAUAUCUCUGUUUCUACAGUAGUUAUGUUAUGCUGCAAACAUCUAUCAAACAAAGUUAGCAAUAUGCACCUUUUAGUCCAAGUUUUAGGGCUUAUGUUUUGUGCAAAUAUGCUGUAUGAAAUAUACUGUGAUCUGAAGAUUAUCAAUGUUUGGUCUGUUUCAUUGUUCCUCUCACUUAAAUAUAUAUUG